rnacentral:tRNA from 2 species
GCCAACCUAGCUCAAUGGUAGAGCAACCGCCUUGUAAGCGGUAGGUUGUGGGUUCGAUUCCCACGGUUGGCU